rnacentral:misc_RNA from 1 species
AAAAUGCGAUAAGUAAUGCGAAUUGCAGAAACCGUGAAUCAUCAAAUCUUUGAACGCACAUUGCACUGCCUGGAAUUCCGGGCAGUAUGGCUGUUUGAGUAUCAGUAUCACAUCACGACACCUCGCUUGCGGGGUGCGGUGGACUUGAGGGUAGACGAUCGCAAGGUCAUCUUCCUUUUAUAACAUUCUGUUUCGUGUCUUUGUGCAUCCGAGAGCUGCGUGCUGGCAACAGUGCAAAAUCUUGUUUGAUAAGCAUCGACUGCAGCAGACUAUAUACAACCAACUCACUGGUGCUUCCCUCGGGGAGCGUCUUUGGAUUUUGAUCUCAAAUCAGCCAAGAUUACCCGCUGAACUUAA